UACGGGGGGUGCAAGCGUUAUUCGGAAUUAUUGGGCGUAAAGAGCGCGUAGGCGGUCUUUUAAGUCAGAUGUGAAAGCCCGGGGCUUAACCCCGGAAGUGCAUUUGAAACUAAAGGACUUGAGUAUGGGAGAGGGAAGUGGAAUUCCUGGUGUAGAGGUGAAAUUCGUAGAUAUCAGGAGGAACACCGGUGGCGAAGGCGACUUCCUGGACCAAUACUGACGCUGAGGCGCGAAGGCGUGGGGAGCAAACAGG
rnacentral:rRNA from 1 species